UACAGAGGCCUCGAACGUUAUUCGGAAUCACUGGGCUUAAAGGGUGCGUAGGCUGCGCAGCAAGUUGGGUGUGAAAUCCCUCGGCUUAACCGAGGAACUGCGCCCAAAACUGCUGUGCUCGAGGGAGACAGAGGUGAGCGGAACUUAGGGUGGAGCGGUGAAAUGCGUUGAUAUCCUAAGGAACACCGGUGGCGAAAGCGGCUCACUGGGUCUCUUCUGACGCUGAGGCACGAAAGCUAGGGGAGCGAACGGG
rnacentral:rRNA from 1 species